GAGGUCAGACAGGAGGUCAGACAGGAGGUCAGACAGGAGGACAGACAGGAGGUCAGACAUGAGGACAGACAUGAGGACAGACAGGAGGUCAGACAGGAGGUCAGACAGGAGGUCAGACAGGAGGUCAGACAGGAGGUCAGACAGGAGGUCAGACAGGAGGUCAGACUAGAGGUCAGACAGGAGGACAGACAUGAGGUCAGACAGGAGGUCAGACAGGAGGUCAGACAUGAGGACAGACAGGAGGACAGACAGGAGGUCAGACAGGAGGUCAGACAGGAGGUCAGACAAGGAGGACAGACAGGAGGUCAGACAGGAGGUCAGACAUGAGGUCAGACAGGAGGUCAGACAGGAGGUCAGACAGGAGGUCAGACAUGAGGUCAGUCAGGAGGUCAG